UGAUGGGUGCGAUCAUACCAGCACUAAUGCACCGGAUCCCAUCAGAACUCCGCAGUUAAGCGUGCUUGGGCGAGAGUAGUACUAAGUUGGGUGACCACUUGGGAAGUCCUCGUGUUGCACCCCUUUUUUUAUAUUUUUUUUAAUACUGUUUUCUUCAAUCCCUCCAUUUCAUUUCUCUCCCAGCGUGUCUUCACGCCGUGCAGCCGCCCCGGCUCGUAUGCUCAUGCACACGCUCGCGCGGGCCCAGGUGGCCGUUGCGACCAGUAAAGCCGGCCUGGGUGAUUCUGCCCGACAUGGCUUAGAUGCAUUUUCUGUGCAUUCUG
rnacentral:misc_RNA from 1 species